rnacentral:rRNA from 1 species
GAUAAGUAUGUGARUUGCAGAUUUUCAGUGAAUCAUCGAAUCUUUGAACGCACCUUGCGCUCCUUGGUAUUCCGAGGAGCAUGCCUGUUUGAGUGUCAUGUA